ensembl:lncRNA
GUUUAGGCAAGCCGGCUGUCAAUGGUGGGCCUACGCCUGGUUCUCGGUACUGUGGCGGUACAGGCGGUGUCAUCAAGCUCCGGCCUCCAAGAUGUGGGGACCUGGCCCCCCAGUUAAUGCUGAUUGGUAAAUAAAGACAAAAGCAGCAAAAGAACUGGAGGGAGCAGCAGAGACAGAACAUAGUAAACAGACCUUUAAUUUCUUCUCUUGGAAGACAACGUCACAGAAAGUUUUCUGAGCUGGAGUCACACUUAAGGGGCAUGCAUUUUUCUUUCCUUCUUUCUUUCUUUUUUUUUUAAGAUUAUUUAUUUAUUAUACACACACUGUAGCUGUCUUCAGGCACACCAGAAGAGGGCAUCAGACCCCGUUACAGAUGGUUGUGGAGCCACCCUGUGUGGUUGUUGGGAUUUGAACU